UACGUAGGGGCCGAGCGUUGUCCGGAAUUACUGGGCGUAAAGCGUGCGCAGGCGGUUCGUUGUGUCGGCGGUGAAAGCCCCGGGCUCAACCUGGGAAUGGCCGUUGAAACUGGCGAACUGGAGUGUGGCAGAGGGGGGUGGAAUUCCGCGUGUAGCAGUGAAAUGCGUAGAGAUGCGGAGGAACACCGAUGGCGAAGGCAGCCCCCUGGGCUAACACUGACGCUCAGGCACGAAAGCGUGGGGAGCAAACAGG
rnacentral:rRNA from 1 species